AUACGUAGGUGGCGAGCGUUGUCCGGAAUUACUGGGUGUAAAGGGCGUGUAGGCGGGGAUGCAAGUCAGAUGUGAAAUUCCAAGGCUCAACCUUGGCGGUGCAUCUGAAACUGUGUCUCUUGAGUGCUGGAGAGGAAAGUGGAAUUCCUAGUGUAGCGGUGAAAUGCGUAGAGAUUAGGAGGAACACCAGUGGCGAAGGCGACUUUCUGGACAGUAACUGACGCUGAGGCGCGAAAGCGUGGGGAGCAAACAGGAUUAGAUACCCUGGUAGUCCACGCCGUAAACGAUGGAUACUAGGUGUAGGAGGUAUCGACCCCUUCUGUGCCGGAGUUAACACAAUAAGUAUCCCACCUGGGGAGUACGAUCGCAAGAUUGAA
rnacentral:rRNA from 1 species